AUUGCGAGUUUCCUGAGAUCUCCCCAGCCCUGCAGAACACCACCCCCACUGCCGUCAGAGAUGGAGUCAGGCAGGGAGUGCUAAGAGUCAGAGUGGAAAGGAGGACACUGCACUGAGCACACAGAAGGUUCACCAGCAGGGAUGCUGCCACAGUCUCAGGAGUAAUUUGCAUCAAUUCGAUAAACGUUUAUCUGGAAACAUCCAAGAGUCAGGUAUGUUGGAGUAUAUAGAUGUUAAUAAACAAAGAUCUCAUCUCAUAGAUAUUCACAGUCACAGAAAUGAAACCAUAGAUGCUUGCAAACGCUUGGGAGUAGGAAGAGGGCAGAGCUGCUGUCUCAUGAUUGGAGCGUGGGCUCAGGGGAACCCUGGUGCAUGUGGCAUUGGGAGUGACAGGGGUGGUCUGGGAGAAAAACAGCAAACCAUUCAAAAUAAUUAAGCUUACUUUGGACAGAGGAAGAGGAUCAUUUGGUAACAGCAACGUCAGAAUGAGAAUCGAAAAUUGAGGGACAUGAGCCAAGAGGUGUUUACUGGGACACAGUUUGAAGCCAGGAUGCUGGAGGAAGGUCCGAGAUCCAGGGAAUAACUUUGAGUGAUUGUAACGGGAGAGAAGAGGGACUCCUGGAGGUGCACAUGAGGUUAGUUCUGAAUGGGCUAACAAGUAAAAUAAGAAACAACUUU